CUGGGAAACAGAUGAAGAGCAGCCUAGGAUUCAAUCCUGUUUCAGAGAUGGGAGGGGGCUCGGGGACGCUGAGGUUGGGGGCAGGGGAGGGUAUAAAGGCAGAGGAGCAGUGGCGUGGGGAUACACGAUAACGAGGGGAAGGGUAGGUGAGGGGGGUGACGGGGUAUGAGGACGGGGGGAUGGGCUGUUACUGACAGGGUGGCAGGAAAAGACUGUAGGGGGUCAUGUGGGAGGAGGCAGGAGAUAUCUGGAAGCGGCCUGGGGGGCGCAGCGGGGGUACCCGGAGGCGGCGCGGGCCUGGAGGGCGGGACAAUCCGGAGGCGGACGAGACAGGGGGUAUCUGGAGCUGGCCUCGGCGAGGCGGGGACGGGGACACGGCCAGGACCUUUUCAUCACCCUGGAGCCAAUACCCUCCCAAGGCGGGAUCUCCGACCUUGAAGCUGGAGAAGGCAGCUCUGGAGCUAAUGUUUCUAUGCUCCCCCUGUCAUCUCCAUCCCUGAGGUUAUCGCAGAUUAGAAGGCGAAAAAAACGCACUCGCAAUGACACAUUUUCUGAGCUCGUGCAGUCCUCCUGCACUGACGGGGGCAUUCAGUGGCAGAGGCCAGGAAAGCAUUAAGUGACCAUGAAGAGCAGAGGCAGGAGGUGAUGCUGAGGCUAAAGGGGGAGCAAAGGGACAUGAUGAAGCAUCUAUUGGAGCUGCAGGAAAGCCAACAAGAGCACAAACCCCUGCUGCAUCCAUUGUAUAACUGCCUGCGCUCCUCCCCAAGUUCCAUAUCCUCCUCACCCAGACGCCCAAGAACACGGUGCAGGGGGAGGCUCUGGGCACCCAGCCACUCCACUCCAGAAGAUGGCCCAAUCAACAGAAGGCUGUCAUUCAAACAGUUUUGAUUUGUAGUGUGGCUACAAUAAGCAAUGUGGCCUUGUCCUUCCCUCCUCCCUCACUCCACCCCACCCAGGCUACCUUGUCAGUUAUCUCACUUUUUUUAAUUAAUAAAGAAAGAA